GGAGGUAUAGCUCAAUGGUAGAGCACAUGCUUAGCAUGCACAAGGUCCUGGGUUCAAUUCCCAGUACCUCCA
rnacentral:tRNA from 1 species